rnacentral:antisense_RNA from 1 species
CUUGAGGGAGCCGAGCCACAGCGGGCGGUCCGUCGAUCGCGAUCGACCGUAGGUGGCGAGCAAUGCGUUCACCUC